GUCUAACAGAAACAUUGAGUUCAUUAAUAGGGACACAUUGCUUUGCCAUGUUGACUUUUGCCCUUUCAGGUGUGAUGAUUUAUGCAAACUGUUUUUACAUUUGAAAUGUCACAUUAAAGAAGGCAAAGUAGUAUCCUGUCCUUUUAGUCAGUGUAACAAAACAUUCUCUGUGAUAUCAACAUUUACCUCACAUUUGUCGAGAAACCACAAAAAAAGCUCAGUGAACAGUCUGAUUGAAGCUGUAGUAGAGAGGCAUGUUUCAAACCCUUGUAAAUCUACUUCAUCUCAAGCUGACAAUGAACAAUUAGAGGCUAUUAUUACUGAUGAUGACAUUUUUGCUGAAGAACUGUCAAAUGUUGUGCCAGAUAAGGCAGAUGAAGUUUUGUUUUUUAAACAAUCUAGCUUUAUUCUAUCUCAAAUUGCAAGCUAAGUUGUUACUUCCAGCUUCAGUCAUUCAGACAAUUAUUGAAGAUUAUCAGAAUAUUCAUGAUGUAAGCCAGUCAAAUAUUUUUCAUAAAUUGUCUGAAAAGUUGAGUGAAGUUGGAAUUUUGGAAUGUGAGAUUAACAAAAUCAUUGAUGUUCUUAAAUCAGAAGAUCUGCUCAGUCAGUGCAACACAGUGCUGAAGACAGACCAGAGGAGGAAGACCAUAUUCAAGGAGAAUUUCAGACAUGUCAGAAUUGACCAGACUGAUUAAGGAGGCUAUCAUCUCAGUCCUCCCUAAUCUUCCAGAAGGAACCCUCUGCCGAAUGGUUGAAAAGUUGAUAGGCCAGGGACAAGAAAGUACAGACGAUUUGGCUUUUGUGAGAGAGGAGGACAUUUUGGAGUUUGUACGGCCAAUACAGUGCCGCAAGCUGCUCGCAGUUUGGAAACAAGUACCACAGUGCAGCACCCCAGUUCGUCCAGUCAUAACCAGCUCAUCUCCUCCAAGCUCAAGUU